rnacentral:lncRNA from 12 species
AAGAGAAUUUGGUGGCUGAGUACUGAAGUGGAAGAGAUGUACUAGAGGUCCUCUGUUGUUCUGUGCCUUGGAAGGAUUUCUACAACAGCAGUUAAACCUCCUGAGGAAGCUCUGAGAGCUCACUUGCCAUUAACACCUGCAGAGCUGCAUCCAGC